UACGGGGGGGGCAAGCGUUGUUCGGAAUUACUGGGCGUAAAGGGCUCGUAGGCGGCCAACUAAGUCAUACGUGAAAUCCCUCAGCUUAACUGGGGAACUGCGUGUGAUACUGGAUGGCUUGGAUUUGGGAGAGGGAUGCGGAAUUCCAGGUGUAGCGGUGAAAUGCGUAGAUAUCUGGAGGAACACCGGUGGCGAAGGCGGCGUCCUGGACCGACACUGACACUGAGGAGCGAAAGCCAGGGGAGCAAACGGG
rnacentral:rRNA from 1 species